rnacentral:rRNA from 1 species
GUGAGGAAUAUUGCGCAAUGGAGGCAACUCUGACGCAGCCAUGCCGCGUGCAGGAAGAAGGCGCUACGCGUUGUAAACUGCUUUUAACCGGGAAGAAACCCCAGGACGUGUCCUGGGUUGACGGUACCGGAGGAAUAAGCACCGGCUAACUUCGUGCCAGCAGCCGCGGUAAUACGAAGGGUGCAAGCGUUAUCCGGAUUCAUUGGGUUUAAAGGGUGCGUAGGCGGAACGUUAAGUCAGUGGUGAAAUCCUGCAGCUUAACUGUAGACUUGCCAUUGAUACUGGCGCUCUUGAGUGCGCUUGAAGUGGGCGGAAUGUGCCGUGUAGCGGUGAAAUGCUUAGAUAUGGCACAGAACACCAAUUGCGAAGGCAGCUCACUAAGGCGAUACUGACGCUGAGGCACGAAAGCGUGGGGAUCGAACAGGAUUAGAAACCCUAGUAGUCC